GGGAAGGAUACCUGCUUGGAGAGGGGGUUCGGGGGACACCAGAGCAAACCGCGGGGAAGGAUACCUGCUUGGAGGGGGGUUCGGGGGACACCAGAGCAAACCGCGGGGCUGGAUGCCUGCUUGGAGGGUGGCUGGGGAACACGGCAGCACACCGCGGGGCUGGAUGCCUGCUUGGAGGGGGGGGGGGGGUGGGGAAAACCAGAGCAAACCGCGGGGAAGGAUACCUGCUUGGAGAGGGGGU